rnacentral:rRNA from 1 species
UACGGAGAGUGCAAACGUUGUUCGGAUUCACUGGGCGUAAAGGGCACGUAGGCGGCUCGGCAAAUCGGUCGUGGAAUCCCGACGCUUACCGUCGGAACGGCGGCCGAAAAUACCGGGCUCGAGGGCGUGAGGGGUCACUGGAACUCCUGGUGAAGCGGUGAAAUGCGUAGAGAUCAGGAAGAACAUCGGUGGCGAAGGCGCUCUGCUGGACCAUAACUGACACUCAGGGACGAAAGCUAGGGGAGCGAAUGGG